AAAGCAACGAGAUGGGUAUAAACGGAGGUCGGAGCCAGCUCCAAAUGGGCGGGUCACCUCCAAAUGGGUGGGACUUCAGCUCCAAGUGGGCUGUACAAACCUCCAGAGUCUUUUGAUUGGUUUAUUUAAUAUCAUGGGGUUAAUGCACGCUGCGAAUCCCCCCCCCCCACCGCCAAAAAGAAAAAAAAAAAAGAAAAGAAGACGUCAACUUCCAUAGGCUUUUCAGCGUCAAGAAAGAGGAGUUUGAAGGGAAAGUUCAAGUCUGGGUGGCCAAAAGUUACAUUUCAGUGACCUGGUUACCGCCUCUCUCUGCAAACACAAAGGAUCACUUUCCUCAGUGGAUCUACCCCAAUCAUCAUCAACGGGACCCCAGUGGAGAGAGUGAGCAGCUUCAGAUACCUCCAGAUGCCCUGUAAAGAGUAGCUGAGCACAUCUCCAGAACAUCUCUCCUCUCUCUGCAAGACAUCCACACCAGGAGAUGUAAAUCUAGGACUGUUAAGAUCCUUAAAGACCUCACCCAGCCUGGAAAUCCACUGUUUCAUCUGCUACAGUCAGGCAGACGCUUCUGCAGUCUGAUGGCAAAGACGGAGAGGCUCAGGAGGAGUUUCUUCCCUCAUGUUAUCAGACUACUAAACAUGGACAUUAAACACACUGCACUUUAUAGACUGGUUGUUUAGGGCUACCCAAUAACUCUCUGCACACUGCACUUUUUUGACAACCUAACUAUGCAACUCAUCCUCACUGCACAUUGUUUACAUCUCUGCACAUCAUCUGUGUAGCAUCUCUACAAAUCAUUGGU